rnacentral:rRNA from 1 species
UACGGGGGGGGCAAGCGUCGUUCGGAAUUACUGGGCGUAAAGGGCUCGUAGGCGGCCAACUAAGUCGGACGUGAAAUCCCCAGGCUCAACCUGGGAACUGCGUCCGAUACUGGAUGGCUUGAAUCCGGGAGAGGGAUGCAGAAUUCCAGGUGUAGCGGUGAAAUGCGUAGAUAUCUGGAGGAAUACCGGUGGCGAAGGCGGCAUCCUGGACCGGCAUUGACGCUGAGGAGCGAAAGCCAGGGGAGCAAACGGG